GAGGUAAGGGCUCACCAAGGCGACGAUCAGUAGCUGGUCUGAGAGGACGACCAGCCACACUGGAACUGAGACACGGUCCAGACUCCUACGGGAGGCAGCAGUGGGGAAUUUUGGACAAUGGGGGAAACCCUGAUCCAGCAAUGCCGCGUGAGUGAAGAAGGCCUUCGGGUUGUAAAGCUCUUUUGUCAGGGAAGAAACGGUGAGCUCUAACAUAGCUUGCUAAUGACGGUACCUGAAGAAUAAGCACCGGCUAACUACGUGCCAGCAGCCGCGGUAAUACGUAGGGUGCGAGCGUUAAUCGGAAUUACUGGGCGUAAAGCGUGCGCAGGCGGUUGUGCAAGACAGAUGUGAAAUCCCCGGGCUCAACCUGGGAAUUGCAUUUGUGACUGCACGGCUAGAGUGUGUCAGAGGGGGGUAGAAUUCCACGUGUAGCAGUGAAAUGCGUAGAGAUGUGGAGGAAUACCGAUGGCGAAGGCAGCCCCCUGGGAUAACACUGACGCUCAUGCACGAAAGCGUGGGGAGCAAACAGGAUUAGAUACCCUGGUAGUCCACGCCCUAAACGAUGUCUACUAGUUGUCGGGUCUUAAUUGACUUGGUAACGCAGCUAACGCGUGAAGUAGACCGC
rnacentral:rRNA from 1 species